AUUGAACGCUGGCGGCAGGCCUAACACAUGCAAGUCGAACGGUAACAGGAAGCAGCUUGCUGCUUUGCUGACGAGUGGCGGACGGGUGAGUAAUGUCUGGGAAACUGCCUGAUGGAGGGGGAUAACUACUGGAAACGGUAGCUAAUACCGCAUAACGUCGCAAGACCAAAGAGGGGGACCUUCGGGCCUCUUGCCAUCGGAUGUGCCCAGAUGGGAUUAGCUAGUAGGUGGGGUAACGGCUCACCUAGGCGACGAUCCCUAGCUGGUCUGAGAGGAUGACCAGCCACACUGGAACUGAGACACGGUCCAGACUCCUACGGGAGGCAGCAGUGGGGAAUAUUGCACAAUGGGCGCAAGCCUGAUGCAGCCAUGCCGCGUGUAUGAAGAAGGCCUUCGGGUUGUAAAGUACUUUCAGCGGGGAGGAAGGGAGUAAAGUUAAUACCUGUGCUCAUUGACGUUACCCGCAGAAGAAGCACCGGCUAACUCCGU
rnacentral:rRNA from 1 species